rnacentral:rRNA from 1 species
UUCGCAAUGCCCGAAAGGGUGACGAUGCGACGCCGCGUGAGCGAAGAAGGCCCUAGGGUUGUAAAGCUCUGUCGAGGGUUAUGAAAUAUAGAUGGGUUAAUACCCCAUUAAUUUGACAAAAGCCCAAAAGGAAGCCACGGCUAACUCUGUGCCAGCAGCCGCGGUAAUACAGAGGUGGCGAGCGUUGUUCGGUAUUAUUGGGCGUAAAGAGCACGUAGGUGGUUUUGUAAGUCAGGUGCGAAAACCUUCUGUUCAAAGGAAGAACGGCAUCUGAAACUGCAGAUCUUGAGUGUAGGAGGGGAGAGUGGAACUUCUGGUGGAGCGGUGAAAUGCGUAGAUAUCAGAAGGAACGUCGGCGGCGAAAGCGACUCUCUGGCCUAUUACUGACACUGAGGUGCGAAAGUUAGGGGAGCAAACGGGAUUAGAUACCCCGGUAGUCCUAACCGUAAACGAUGGGCACUAAGUAGAGGGGUUUU